rnacentral:rRNA from 1 species
GUGCCAGACUCCUACGGGAGGCAGCAGUGAGGAAUAUUGGUCAAUGGGCGCGGGCCUGAACCAGCCAAGUAGCGUGAAGGAUGACUGCCCUACGGGUUGCAAACUUCUUUUAUAAAGGAAUAAAGUGAGGCACGUGUGCCUUUUUGUAUGUACUUUAUGAAUAAGGAUCGGCUAACUCCGUGCCAGCAGCCGCGGUAAUACGGAGGAUCCGAGCGUUAUCCGGAUUUAUUGGGUUUAAAGGGAGCGUAGAUGGGUUGUUAAGUCAGUUGUGAAAGUUUGCGGCUCAGCCGUAAAAUUGCAAUUGAUACUGGCAGCCUUGAGUACAGUUGAGGUAGGCGGAAUUCGUGGUGUAGCGGUGAAAUGCUUAGAUAUCAGGAGGAACACCGGUGGCGAAGGCGGCCUGCUGGACUGCGACUGACGUUGAGGCCCGAAAGCGUGGGGAGCAAACAGGAUUAGAUACCCCAGUAAC